CAGCCGCCGCGGUAAUACAGAGGGUGCGAGUGUUGUCCGGAAUCACUGGGCGUAAAGGGCGCGUAGGCGGUGCGAUAAGCGUGCGGUGAAAGCCCGGGGCUCAACCCCGGGUCGGCCGUGCGGACUGUCGGACUGGAGCACUGUAGAGGCAGGUGGAAUUCCGGGUGUAGCGGUGGAAUGCGUAGAGAUCCGGAAGAACACCGGUGGCGAAGGCGGCCUGCUGGGCAGUGGCUGACGCUGAGGCGCGACAGCGUGGGGAGCAAACAGGAUUAGAUACCCUGGUAGUCCACGCCGUAAACGAUGGGCACUAGGUGCUUGGGGGAGCGACCCUCCGAGUGCCGGCGCUAACGCAUUAAGUGCCCCGCCUGGGGAGUACGGCCGCAAGGCUGAAACUCAAAGGAAUUGACGG
rnacentral:rRNA from 1 species